rfam:Bacteroides sp. CAG:754 genomic scaffold, scf170
UUGAGCCGUAUGAUGGGAAACUAUCAAGUACGGUUCUUAGGGGGGAAAGGGGCAGCAAUGCCUCCGACCUACCCGAU